rnacentral:rRNA from 1 species
UACGUAGGGAGCAAGCGUUGUCCGGAAUCAUUGGGCGUAAAGCGCGCGUAGGCGGCCCUGUAAGUCCGUUGUGAAAGUCAAAGGCUCAACCUUUGAAAGCCGAUGGAUACUGCAGGGCUAGAGUCCGGAAGAGGUGAGUGGAAUUCCGAGUGUAGAGGUGAAAUUCGUAGAUAUUCGGAGGAACACCAGUGGCGAAGGCGGCUCACUGGUCCGGUACUGACGCUGAGGUGCGAAAGCGUGGGGAGCAAACAGG